CCUUUUUACAAUGGUAGUUUAAAUCUUAUACCUUUCAUCCUGGUUUACCAAUUUUGCAAAAGGUACCUACUGGAAUUAAUGUCCUGAAUAUGCAAAAAAUAUUUGCAAGUGGACAUCAACUGACUGCAACAAGUUGGAAUGGAAUAUUAUGAAAGAUGGUUAUCCAAGCAAGAGAUCUCCAUGACCAGAGCAAAGGCCUGAGUGAACAUUAAAGAGAUUAAAUUAUAUUAGAUUAUUCCCAGUAAUGCAUUGCUAACUGAUAAGUUAAAAGAGCAGACAAAAUUAAAGUAAUAUCUUUUAAACAUUUAAAUUGAACUUUUUGCAUGUCAUAUUUAGUCAUCUUUUUGCAGAUUUGCCAUUUAAUGGAUUAUGAAAAAUUAUGUGCGUGGUGAAGUAUGUUUCAUUUACAAAUGUUGAUCCAUUCUUUUUGAGAUGCCAAGAUUAAACAAAAAGGUUAAUUCGAUGUUGCUGCAGGACUUGGAAAAUUGAUACUGUUUUACCUCAAAAGUGCCAUUUCAUGAUAAUAAUGAGCAGGGUUUAAGCUAGGAUUUUGAGAGCUUGUCACUUUUCAAUCACUGAUAAUGAGAAGUGUGAAUGAAAUAUUUCAGAGUUAAGUUAUAGGAAUUAAAUUUUAAAUAUUAUUAAAAUUAGAUUAUAUGCAUUUCUAAUUAUAUCAUUUGUUUUAACUUUUAAGCAUAUUUUUUCCAAUCUUUUUUUUUUUCAGGAUGAAAAUAGCAAACAGGAAGUUUUCAAGAGAUUGUUACCUCAAAUCUGAAGUGGUUCAAUGCAAAACACGAGCUUCAUUCAAUGCGAUGCUGGCCCUGCAUGGUAUUCACAAAGUGCCUUUAUUAGAUGAAAACUUAAUGGGAAUAAAUUUACCUGAUGUUUAGGUAAUGUUUGAUGCUUCCAAUUGUGGAUAUUUUGAAAAAAAGGUGAAAAUGAAGGAAGGACAACACACACAAACUUUUUUAUUUAUUGAUUAUAAAAUUGAGAGAGUCAAAUAUAAUUUCAAAAUAUGAAAUGUGUGAAAGGCAAAGAGAGAGUCAGCUAGGUAUUUGUGAAGAUUAAAUUUGUUCAUUUUAAAGCUCACUGCUUAUCUUCAAUGUUUGAUUAAAAAAAAAUUUUUUCUUCAAAAUUCAUUAUGUUAAAAUGUGAGAUAGUUAGAAUAUUCAUUUGUAAAGAUUUAUCCUGUUUCAACCUUAAAGCUCAUAAUAUUGUUUCCAUUUUUUAAGAGCUGUUUGACUAUAGACGGUCACUGCUAUUUUUUGUUUGUUUGUAUUUAUGGUUUAAACAAGAUUAAUCUAAGAGGAAUUGCAGUGUAUGAAAGACAGAAAUAAGGACUAUGUAAAGGUCUAUUCUUUUUCAGCAAAACAGCAGGUUCUUCUUUAUAACUUUUUGUAUUGAAAUAAUCAAGCACUUGCCAAUUUGUUUAAAUUGGAUAAAUCUUGGAUGAGUAUUACAUUGUGUAUUGAAAACUGUAUUUUUAAAAAGGAUACACUAAAAAUAUUACAUACUAAAAAAUUUAAAUCAUAAAUUUUCAUUUUAUAUCUAAAUUAUCACACAUAUGCAAUAUAUUAAGUGUACCAUUUUUUAUAUAUUUAUUUUUUUUAGUUUUCAACACAGGAAUUGAAAUCUAAAAUGAAUGAGGAGCUAAUAGGUUGGAAGUUAUGGCAAGGGGAGGGAAUAAACCUAUUUACCUCCUAAUACUGGUUUCUUCCUAUGAUGAAAGUUAAUUUAUCAUACUUGUAUUAUUUACAUGUAAUAUAUUUAAGGGACACAGAUGUUAUCAAAAUUUGCCAUUUUGUAGAGCUAAUAGUAAAGAAAUAAUGUAAACAAAAGAAAAAGAAAAAAAAAAAGAUAAAAGAAAAAACUGUAAACAAAGUUCUAGGAAAUGGCAGUAUGGGAUUUUCUGAAAUUUAUAAGUUGUAUUGGAUCGAAAAGUAUUCUUACAACUUAAUACAUCUGGUGUGUGUGAGGGAGAGAAAGAUAUUAUGUGGAGGUUUAUUUUUUCUUUCAGCCAAACAGCAGGCACUUCUUACAACUUUUUGUAGACUGGUCUCAAACAAGUUGCCAAAAUUAACCUGUCAUUUGGUUUAGAUAAGAUAAAUCUAGAAGGAAGAUAGUAUUUUGAGAUGCUACUUUUUCUUUGAUUUGUUUUAUGGCUUGAAUCUAUGAACAAAGAAUAUACACUUGAAUAUGACAUGGAUCAAAAUUUAAUAAAUCAGCUCUCAUUGUUUUAAACAUCACAGUCAUGUUCUAUUCUAUGUGUAUCUAUGUCAUUUGUUAACCCCUUCAACACAGAAAGCAAAAUCCAUGUGAUGAAUGAGGAGCUAAUAGGGUGAAGUUUAUGGCAAGGGGAGGGAAUACACCUAUUUACCUCCUUAUUCUGGUCGCUUCCUUUGGUGAAAGGUAAUUAAUUAGACAUUAAUAGGAGCACAUCAGAUGUAAUCAAAAUUUGCCAUUUUGUAGAGCUUAGUAAAAACUGUAAACUAAGUUAUAGGAAAUAGCAGUAUGGGUUGGUUUGAAAUUUAAUGAUAUCUUUUGGAUAUUAAAUUCUUCUUUUUAUAUUUUAAAUUCAUCUGAUUUGCAUAUUUGAUAGAGAGAUAGAACAAGACUUUGUGAAGGUUUAUUCUGUUUCAAUCUAACAGCAGGUGCUUCUUUCAUCUAAUUGUAAUCAUCUCUUAUGACCAAUUUUCAAUAAAACUACUAAAAUCUGCCAUUGGAUUAAGAUUGGAUGAAUCUAGAAGGAGGGUAAAGUAUUUCGAAUUUGAUUACCAGUACUUAAAAAAAAUAAUUACAUUGUUUCUUAAUUUUCAAUUUUUGGAGUAAGAGAAUGA